AUUCCAGCUCCAAGAGCGUAUAUUAAAGUUGUUGCAGUUAAAAAGCUCGUAGUUGGAUUUCUGGUCUAAUGCGCCUGGCCCGCUGCCGUUAGGUAUGUGAGUGCCGGUGCGCGUUUACCAUCCUUCCAGAGAACACUUCUACCAUUUAUUUGGACGGAUGUUGUCUUCUGGAUCUUUUACUUUGAAAAAAUUAGAGUGUUUAAAGCAGGCCUUUGCUGUGAAUACAUUAGCAUGGAAUAAUAAUCUAGGACUUCGGUUCUAUUUUGUUGGUUUGCACACCAAGGUAAUGAUUAAUAGGGAUAGUUGGGGGUAUUCGUAUUUAAUUGUCAGAGGUGAAAUUCUUGGACCGUUUGAAGACAAACUACUGCGAAAGCAUUUGCCAAGAAUGUUUUCAUUA
rnacentral:rRNA from 1 species